UACGUAGGGAGCAAGCGUUGUCCGGAAUCAUUGGGCGUAAAGCGCGCGUAGGUGGCCAUUUAAGUCCGCUGUGAAAGUCAAAGGCUCAACCUUUGAAAGCCGGUGGAUACUGGAUGGCUAGAGUACGGAAGAGGCGAGUGGAAUUCCUGGUGUAGCGGUGGAAUGCGCAGAUAUCAGGAGGAACACCAAUAGCGAAGGCGGCUCGCUGGGACGUUACUGACACUGAGGCGCGAAAGCGUGGGGAGCGAACAGG
rnacentral:rRNA from 1 species